rnacentral:lncRNA from 1 species
GGGAGUAUAAAUGGGUCUCUAUCUAAAGUAGGAUUGCAAUUCUCAAUAAGUAGGAUUACAAGAGCAUCUAAACCGUUGCAGUAAGUACAAAAGUUCAUAGAGGGCAUUCACAAGAUUAUUGAGAUUAUGGGUGUCAUAAUGGUUGAGAGUACAGAUUUCACCGCUUAUCAGUUGAAGAGAGUAGCUCAAAUUUGCUACAAGCAAUGGAAGGAGGAAAGCG